rnacentral:rRNA from 1 species
UCAACCCCAGUUUUUAGUCACUCACCUAGGAACUCGGCGGCUGCUUGCGGCUCCAGUUUUAGGGCUCGCUUCUCUUUCCGCACUGUCCUCUCUACCGCCGCCGGCGUGAUGCAGGCCGCUAGGAGGCGGUGUAGGCCGAGAGGGGGCGGUGCCGCCGGGGAGAGCGGCGGCGGCCGGCCGGGGAGCGGGACCGCGGCACCGAGCGCGCCGGUUACAGGAGGGUGCUGCGGGUGGAGUGGGCGCUGCUCCAGCAGCCGGCGCAGGAGCUGCAGGAGUUCACGGUGGGGUUCCAGCUGGGGAGGUUCCACUGGGGGCUCCGCGUGAAGCUCUUCCUAGACCCCGACCUGUCGGACCUGUGCCACCUCCACCACUACCGCUAGCUCCUCCUCAAGUUCGAGCUCUAGGGGCUGGACCUCCGACUGUUCUAAUUGAGCGAAGGCGAGCGGUAGCUCAUGCAGCGGUUGGUGGGGUACCGGCCGACUCGCGGGCGGGAAGGGUAACGGCUGGCGCGGCCCCACUCCGGAAAAGAACAAAGACAAAGCCCCACUACUUAUUAACUGACCUCAACAAGUCCUUUUGACCAGGGACCACGAGACGUAACACCGCCAGCGACAACUAGAACCUACGUUGACAUUGUAAGACGUCAUAGUCGACUACUUGAUCGGAACAACCGGCGUGCGAACAAAAAACAACAUCAUAUGGACAAAUUAGAUUUAACCUUAGAUGAGUACAAAAAACAAAUGAGGAGUAAUCGUAACAUGAGGGAGGCAAGUGUUUAUAUUGUACAAAACCUAUAAGGUUUAACCUCAUGUAUGCCUGACUUUACUCACUUAUUUGUGUGAUUUUGUACAAAUA